rnacentral:rRNA from 1 species
GACGAACGCUGGCGGCGUGCUUAACACAUGCAAGUCGAACGAAGAGCGACGGAAUCUUGCUUCUGUCAAUCUUAGUGGCGAACGGGUGAGAAAUGCGUAACCAACCCGCCCCUUAGAGGGGGAUUACAGUAGCAAAGGAUAGUACAUACUACAAACUCCUUAACCAUGGCAUGGGGGGGAGAUGUACGGUGGCCGGUACAGGUCAGCUAUCACAUAAGGUGGUGAUUGCGUCAGAGUAGUUAGAUGGCGGGGUAAGGGCGCACGGAGGCGAUGAUCAGUAGCAGGUCGGAGAGGAUGAACGGCCACAUUGGGACGGAGACACGGCCCAGACGGCUACGGGAGGCAGCAGUGGGGAAUCGUCCGCAAUGGACGAAAGUCUGACGGAGCAACGCCGAGUGAGUGAUGACGGCCGUCGGGUUGUAAAGCUCUGUUAAUCGGGAGGAAAGGCCUUCUUGCGAAUAGUGAGAAGGAUUGACGGUACCGGGAAAGAAAGCCACGGCUAACUACGUG